rnacentral:rRNA from 1 species
GAUGAACGCUGGCUACAGGCUUAACACAUGCAAGUCGAGGGGAAACGACGGGGAAGCUUGCUUCCCCGGGCGUCGACCGGCGCACGGGUGAGUAACGCGUAUCCAACCUGCCUCUGACUGAGGGAUAACCCGUCGAAAGUCGGCCUAAUACCUCAUGGUAUCGUCUGCGGGCAUCCAACGACGAUUAAAGAUUUCAUCGGUCAGGGAUGGGGAUGCGUCUGAUUAGCUUGUUGGCGGGGUAACGGCCCACCAAGGCUACGAUCAGUAGGGGUUCUGAGAGGAAGGUCCCCCACAUUGGAACUGAGACCCGGUCCAAACUCCUACGGGAGGCAGCAGUGAGGAAUAUUGGUCAAUGGGCGAGAGCCUGAACCAGCCAAGUAGCGUGCAGGAAGACGGCCCUAUGGGUUGUAAACUGCUUUUAUGCGGGGAUAAAGUGAGGGACGUGUCCCUCAUUGCAGGUACCGCAUGAAUAAGGACCGGCUAAUUCCGUG